rnacentral:tRNA from 2 species
GGGCUUGUAGCUCAGUUUUGGGAGAGCGUUCGGUUCGCAUCCGAGAGGUCGAGGGUUCGAUCCCCUUCAAGUCCACCA